rnacentral:tRNA from 1 species
GGCCGGUUAGCUCAGUCAGUUGAGCGUAGAGCUAACAACGCUAAGGUCACGGGUUCGAUUCCCGUUCGGUCC